rnacentral:rRNA from 1 species
CAUGCAAGUCGAGCGAGAAGUCUAAGAUUGAAACUUCGGUCGAUUUCUUAGAUGGAAAGCGGCGCAAGGGAGAGUAACGCGUAGUUAUCUACCCCGAGGCCCGGAAUAGCUGCGGGAAACUGCAGGUAAUGCCGGAUGAUAUCUGCUUCUGUGAUGGAUGCAGAUCAAAGGUGUGAUUCCGCCUUGGGAGGGGACUGCGUUGUAUUAGCUUGUUGGUGGGGUAAUGGCCUACCAAGGCGAUGAUGCAUAGCGGGCGUGAGAGCGUGGCCCGUCUCACUGGGACUGAGACACUGCCCAGACACCUACGGGUGGCUGCAGUCGAGAAUCUUCGGCAAUGGGCGAAAGCCUGACCGAGCGAUGCCGCGUGUGGGAUGAAGGCCCUCGGGUUGUAAACCGCUGUCAGUUGGGAGGAAGGCUCCGUGAAGAGCGGAGUUUGACCUAUCUUCAGAGGAAGUCCGGGCUAAGUUCGUGCCAGCAGCCGCGGUAACACGAACCGGACAAACGUUAUUCGGAAUUAUUGGGCUUAAAGGGUGCGUAGGCGGCGCGGUAAGUGAGGUGUGAAAGCCCACGACUCAAUCGUGGAAUUGCGCUUCAUACUGCCGUGCUAGAGGGAGACAGAGGUAAGCGGAACUGAUGGUGGAGCGGUGAA